AUACAAAAAAUAGUAAAAGGGAUUAUAGAAGAAAGGAGAGGUUCUAUUUCUGUGGUUUUAAUUUGCAAUUCCAAAAAUCUAAUGAUGUGCAACAUCCUUUCCUGUUCCUGUCAGCCAUUUGCAUACUUUACUUGGAGACAUACCUUUAGAAGCCUUUUGUCCAUUUUUAAAUUGUGUUGUUUCCCUUUCUCGUUUUUGAGUUUCAGGAAUUCUUUAUAUAUUCUGGAUACUAGAUCCUUCUCAGAUAUAUGAUUUGCAAGUAUUUUCUCCCAUUCUAUGAGAUGUCAUUUCACUUUCAUGGGGAGACUAAGGUAAACAACUCAAACAUGGUUUCAGUAGUGUUUUUCUUGAUUAAACAUUCAAUUGGCUGCUGUAAACUUCUAUUUUCCAGAAACCAGAUAAAGUUAAUUCUGACAGUAUUUGUUAUGUUUUUGCAUUUCUUUGGAGGGAGGGCCAACUGCCCCUUAAUUUAUUUACUUUAGUAUUGUCUCUCAUAAUUUUUAAAAAAGAUUUAUUUAUUCAUGAGAGACACACAGAGAGAGAAUGAGAAGAAAGAAAGAGGCAAAGACACAGGCAGAGGGAGAAGCAGGCUCCAUGCAGGGAGCCCAAUGCGGGACUUGAUCUCGAGUCUCCAGGAUCAUGCCCUGGCCUGAAGCAGGCGCUAAACCGCUGAGCCACCCAGGGACCCCCAUAAAUAUUUUUUAAUAGAGUUUUGGCAAUGUUGUAAUCAUUAUAAAGAAGCGGGAGCGGGAGAAUCGGGGCUCGGAGCCGGCCGCCGCUCCCCUCCGCUCGCUGUGGGGCUCGGUUUCCCGGGGGUGGGGGGGGGGGGGCUCAGAUAUGGAGGCAAAUGGGAGCCAAGGCACCUCAGGCAGCGCCAACAACUCCCAGCACGACCCCGGUAAAAUGUUUAUUGGUGGACUAAGCUGGCAGACCUCACCAGAUAGCCUUAGAGACUAUUUCAGCAAAUUUGGAGAAAUUAGAGAAUGAAUGGUUUUUGUUUUUUUUUUCCUGGCAAAGCAAACUUUAUUAAUGGCCCUGAGGUUGGAGCUCCAGGUCCCGCUGAACACUUGAGAGUUGGGGCGAGGGCCUCUCGUGUUGGCCUCAGCAGCUCCAUCCCAUUCAGACUCAGGUGGAGAGAGGCUGGGUGGGGGAGACCUGGGGUCACAGCUAGCCAACUCUCCCUCGGUCGCUGCAGCCAGGCCACUCCUGGCUCCUCAUUUCUUGGAUCCUGGCUUUUUAGGUUUGAGUGUGGGUUUGGCCUUUUUCACAGGACUCUGGUCUUUAAGCCUGGGUCUUGGCAACACUUGUCUGCUUCUGGGACGCCAGCCUCUUGACUUGUUUAACAGGGGUCUCCUCUAGGGACACAUCUAAUCAUCGUCGUCAUCAUCAACCUCAUCACUGUGACUUUCCUCCUCCUCUUCCUCCUCCUCCUCGGGAUCCUCCUCUUCCUCCCAGGAUACGUCUGCAGUGUCUAUGUAACAUUCCUGGCCACCGAGGAACACAGGUCCAGAGCCAGCCCGGAGCUGGAAAGUAACUGGAGGAGAAAGCUCCAAUCCCAUCACGACAACCAUGGGUAGCACGGAGGCCUGGAGCGAGGCGAUGGUGAUGGGCUUGGCCUGUUUGUCCUCCGGGCUGGCCGGGGCAGGAUUUCCACCAGGUUCAUCUCUUCUUUGGCUUUCUCCCCCAAGCAAAUCGUACUGAGCAACAGCUUCGAGUCCUGCUUGCCCUCCUUCUGGGGUUUGACCGUCCAGGUCCGCUUCCUGGUUUAGCUCACAGUCCCAGAGCACGGCUGCCGCGCCUUCUCGGCAGCGCUGCUGCUGCUGCUGAGGUUCAUGCCCCGGGGCGCGCGGGGGCGCGGGGGGCGCAGCGGCUGUGCGGGAGGACAGAGGAGGGAAACCACUGGUUGUAGGAGAGAAGGCAUAUAUUUAAAGUUAGGUUUAAAAGAUGCUGCCAAAUGGACCUUCUGA
rnacentral:lncRNA from 1 species